AUUGAACGCUGGCGGCAGGCCUAACACAUGCAAGUCGAACGAGUGGCGGACGGGUGUGUAAUGUCUGGGAAACUGCCUGAUGGAGGGGGAUAACUACUGGAAACGGUAGCUAAUACCGCAUACCAUCGGAUGUGCCCAGAUGGGAGUAGCUAGUAGGUGGGGUAAAGGCUCACCGAGGCGACGAUCCCUAGCUGGUCUGAGAGGAUGAACAGCCACACUGGAAAUGAGACACGGUCCAGACUCCGACGGGAGGCAGUAGAGGGGAAUAUUGCACAAUGGGCACAAGCCUGAGGCAGCCAUGCCGCGUGUAUGAAGAAGGGGUUCGGGUUGUAAAGUACUUUCAGCGGAGAGGCGUUACCCGCAGAAGAAGCACCGGCUAACUCCGUGCCAGCAGCCGCGGUAAUAC
rnacentral:rRNA from 1 species